ACACAAACAGUGAGAAGGAAUAGUAGAAAGAACCAUGUUUUAGAGAGCGUAUGGCUGGUGAAAAUACGUACAGAAGCUUUUGAACUCGCCUUUGAGUUAUUUUACUGAACCAGUCAAAGAAUAGUUUUUUCGAUUAUUCUUGCACUUUUAAGUAGAUUCGGUGACGACCGUUAUAUCGUUUGAGGCUUGUAUUAAUGCAAGUGAAUUUAGGUGGUACCACGUUGUAUGUCAAACGUCCUAUAG
rnacentral:ncRNA from 1 species